ACGGGUGAGUAACACGUAUGGAACCUGCCCGCAGCAGGGGGAUAAGCGGAAGAAAUUCCGUCUAAUACCGCGUAACAACGUUGGGAGGCAUCUCCCGAUGUUUAAAGAUUUAUCGGCUGCGGAUGGCCAUGCGGCGCAUUAGCUAGUCGGCGGGGUAACGGCCCACCGAGGCGACGAUGCGUAGGGGUUCUGAGAGGAAGGUCCCCCACACUGGUACUGAGACACGGACCAGACUCCUACGGGAGGCAGCAGUGAGGAAUAUUGGUCAAUGGCCGAGAGGCUGAACCAGCCAAGUCGCGUGAGGGAAGACGGCCCUACGGGUUGUAAACCUCUUUUGUCGGGGAGCAAAGAGAGCCACGUGUGGUUCAUUGAGAGUACCCGAAGAAAAAGCAUCGGCUAACUCCGUGCCAGCAGCCGCGGUAAUACGGAGGAUGCGAGCGUUAUCCGGAUUUAUUGGGUUUAAAGGGUGCGCAGGCGGAGGUGCAAGUCAGCGGUCAAAUUGCGGGGCUCAACCCCGUACUGCCGUUGAAACUGCAUCCCUUGAGUGCGCGAGAAGUAUGCGGAAUGCGUGGUGUAGCGGUGAAAUGCAUAGAUAUCACGCAGAACUCCGAUUGCGAAGGCAGCAUACCGGCGCGCAACUGACGCUCAUGCACGAAAGCGUGGGUAUCGAACAGGAUUAGAUACCCUGGUAGU
rnacentral:rRNA from 1 species